UACAGAGGAGCCAAGCGUUGUCCGGAUUGACUGGGCGUAAAGCGCACGCAGGCGGACGCGCGCGUGGGGUGUGAAAUCUGGCCGCUUAACGGCCAGGCGCCAUCCCAUACGGCGCGUCUGGAGUGGUGCAGAGGUCGAUGGAAUUGCCGGUGUAGUGGUGAAAUGCGUAGAGAUCGGCAGGAACACCCAGGGGGAAACCAGUCGACUGGGCAUCUACUGACGCUGAGGUGCGAGAGCGUGGGGAGCGAACCGG
rnacentral:rRNA from 1 species